rnacentral:rRNA from 1 species
UUGGAGGGCAAGUCUGGUGCCAGCAGCCGCGGUAAUUCCAGCUCCAAUAGCGUAUAUUAAAGUUGUUGCAGUUAAAAAGCUCGUAGUUGAAUUUCGGGGUUCUACCGUUGGUCGGGCUAUUGUUUGUACUGGCGUGUAGAAUUUCUACCUUCUGGGGAACUAUCAUGUUAUUAAUUUAGCGUGGUAGGAAACCAGGACCUUUACCUUGAAAAAAUUAGAGUGUUCAAAGCAGGCUUAUGUCUGAAUACAUUAGCAUGGAAUAAUAAAAUAGGACGGUGGUUCUGUUUUGUUGGUUUCUGAAUCACCGUAAUGAUUAAUAGGGAUAGUUGGGGGCAUUAGUAUUCAAUUGUCAGAGGUGAAAUUCUUGGACUUAUUGAAGACUAACUACUGCGAAAGCAUUUGCCAAGGAUGUUUUCAUUAAUCAAGAACGAAAGUUAGGGGAUCGAAGACGAUCAGAUACCGUCGUAGUCUUAACCAUAAACUAUGCCGACUAGGGAUCGGACGAUGUUAACUUUUUAAUGACUCAUUCGGCGUCUUACGGGAAACCAAAGUGUUUGGGUUC